GGUCUCGUUAGCUUAGUCGGUAUAACUCUCGACUAUAAUGUGGUAGAACUCGGGUUCGAGCCCCGCUGAGGGCA